rnacentral:lncRNA from 1 species
CGAUAUAAUAAUAUAAUCUAAAAAUAAGAGUAAGCAAUAAAACAUAAAAUUUCAUGUUCCAUAUCCGGAAUAAUACAAAUAUCUAUAAAUUAUUUGUCUUGUCAAAAGAAAUGCAUCAUCAUAUGUUAACAGAUGAAAUACUUUUGUUCAACAAUUAUUUCAUAUCUUAUUUUUUAUUUCUUUUUUUAUAAUCACAUAAUUUUUAAUAUUUUUUUUCUGGCUCUGGACUAACCAAGUCUAUACCUCAGUCAUCAUCCGAAUCAAUUUCUACUUAAAAGCCUUUCAAGACUGUCCC